rnacentral:misc_RNA from 1 species
GCAACACGAGCCUGAACGGCUUGAUUCCGUUUGUGAAUCAAUUGGCUUCGUUGUUGCGAUGUUGUGUUUGCAAACUCGUAUUUCGAGUUAGGUAGAUUUCUACCAUAUGUUUUGUCCACACUC